UACGUAGGGUCCGAGCGUUGUCCGGAAUUAUUGGGCGUAAAGGGCUCGUAGGCGGUCUGUUGCGUCGGGAGUGAAAACUUACAGCUUAACUGUGAGCGUGCUUCCGAUACGGACAGACUUGAGGCAUUCAGGGGAGAACGGAAUUCCGUGGUGUAGCGGUGAAAUGCGCAGAUAUCAGGAGGAACACCAAUUGCGAAGGCAGCUCGCUGGAACGUAACUGACGCUGAGACGCGAAAGCGUGGGGAGCGAACAGG
rnacentral:rRNA from 1 species